GCCAGGUCUCCCCCUGAUAGAAUAACUGAACUUUCAGACUGCAGAAAGUAUUUAGAGAAGAGCAUCAAAUAUGCACUGCUGGCAAAAUGACUUUUUAAAGAUUGUUUAAAAUGCAAAUAUAAAUGAUUUAUGUUGGCCACGAUUUCAAACUAAUCCCUUCUCAAGUCUUAAAGAGUUGAAGUGAUAGAGCGGUUUUAAGAGGACAGAGAGAGAGAGAGAGAGAGAUCUUUCACGCUGGGAGCUGCUUUUAACCAUUUCCAUCACCCACGUCCAGAGCUUCCUCCAGGCUGUUAGUUUUAUUUCAAAUCACGAUUCAAAUUGUAUUAGUUAGAGAUCUGCCUACGUGCUGACAUGUGAAGGAAUCAAAGUUGGUCAAUAUUUGCUCUGUGAAUCAUGCUUUUUGAGUGCAUCUGAAGCUCUCAUCCAACUGCAAAUUCUCCAUUUAUGCUGCUUUUGUAGUUUUAAAAAAAAAAUAAAGAAAUAAAUUACACAAGCCUAAAAUUCAGGUAUUACACAGAACAAAAUAGAACAAAAUAAUGGUGAUAGAACCAAAGAAGGACAUACAGACAGACAGAAACAGAGCGAUUGACAGAAUGAUAUAAUGAUGGAAAGACAUACAGACAGAUAAAAUGAUAGAAUGGAGAGAGACAGAGUUCCAUGAACCGGAAAGUACAUGUACAUGUACUCAAUACAUGGUAGGGAUUCCUUUUGCUUUAAUUACUGCCUCAAUUCAGCGUGGCAUGGAGGUGAUCAGUUUGUGGCACUGCUGAGGUGGUAUGGAAGCCCAGGUUUCUUUGACAGUGGCCUUCAGCUCAUCUGCAUUUUUUGGUCUCUUGUUUCUCAUUUUCUCUUUGGUUUUUGGGUUAUUAUAUAGAGCACUGCAGUAAUGAUGUACUUAUUGGCCGAACCAGCAGUCAACAUCAUCCUGUUCCCUCCACAAAAUCCCAACAGGAUUUUUACAUUGGCUUUUGGAUUAUUGCGAAAAAUAAGAUCUCUGACCAACACAAGUUUAUGAUUAUUACAUAUUUCGUUCAGCAUGAUUAAUCUUCACAAACAAACACAACUGAAAAACUAAACGUACGCAGCAUUUUAUAAAUAUAUAUAUAUAUAUAUAUAUAUAUAUAUAUAUAUAUAUAUAUAUAUAUAUAUAUAUAUAUAUAUAUAUAUAUAUAUAUAUAUAUAUAUAUAUAUUAGAUUCUUAAACUAAUUGUAUUUUUCUUAAAGAAAUGAAGCCUAUUUUAGGACAAUUUAAGCUGAGGUGUUUUAUUUUCUCCUCUUAAAUGGUCUCCUUUUCCCAGUUUAAUAUGCAGAGACUAUAAGUCAUUGGUAGAAUUGCAUUGCCAAAAAAUGUACAUACCUGGAUCAGCCAAUGGCAUGAGGGGUGGGACUAUUUGUUUGUCCGACCAAUGGCAUGAAGUAACUGUUCAGGGAAAACCUGUAUGAAAUAAUUGUGCAGAAAUUUCACAUGUUCAACUGUUCUGCAGUUUAAUAACUUGCGCUCUUCUUUUAAAGGUAAAAAAAAAAGUCACUAAAUUUUUGAACGUUCAUCUGUUUUUAUUUCCCUUCUGUAAUGCAGGGCAUAAAUCUACCUUUUCCCGCAACAUCAACAACUCUUCACUGACCUACAUGGAGGCCCAGACCAGUGCUAGAGAGACACAGAGGAAUCAUGAGGCAUUAAGAAUGAGCUGGGAAAUUUGAGUGUGGAGAGACAGCGAGGGUAUGGAGGGCACAUUUUACCAAAGCGCUGCGUGGAAGGUUUUCUGAGGUCAUUGAUCAAACAGUUUUCUAAAAAUGAAUAGGAACUUCCUGUCACUUUCUGAAUCAAUGGAAGUUGAUUGAUCCUCAUCCUAAUGCUAAGGGCGGCUUUGAGGAGACCUGAAAAGUCAGCCUGAAAAGAAAAUGAUGAAUCAAAGUGGCUAAACAACUGACAGGCCUGCAGACACCAAAUAAUAUUGGGUUAUUUUUACCCAGUUUAAUGGGAAGCCUGUAAUGAACUGACACUGGUCUUCAGAUUAAAACUCAAAAUAAUUGGUCCUUCAUUACUUUAGGAGUCUCAUUUACUGUGCUCAGCUUUAUUUCAUGCACACUGUUAGACAGUUCAGUGACAUCUUGUAAUUAUCUUAUUUGGCCUUAAACUGAGUCUACAGUGUCAAGUAAAUAUUUUUUGUCCUCCCUAGAAACAAAGAACAUUUAAUGUUCAAUAUGCACGUCUAGUUGGAGCAUGAUUUUAAACCAAACAGAUUUUAGUGUGGGCUGCAUUGAAAUGCACUGAAAAUAAAAACAAGCCAAGAAAACAUUUAUUGAAAUAGAAAUAUUUUGUAACAUACAUCUUUA
ensembl:lncRNA